GAUGAACGCUAGCGACAGGCCUAACACAUGCAAGUCGAGGGGUAGCACAGAGAUAGCUUGCUAUUUUGGGUGACGACCGGCGCACGGGUGAGUAACGCGUAUGCAACCUGCCUAUAAGAGGGGGACAGCCUUUCGAAAGAAAGAUUAAUACAGCAUGAUACUGUUGAUCUGCAUGGGUUGAUAGUUAAACUAAUUGGCUUAUAGAUGGGCAUGGGGUUCCAUUAGAUAGUUGGUGAGGUAACGGCUCACCCAGUCAGCGAUGGAUAGGGGUUCUGAGAGGAAGGGCCCCCACACAGGUACUGAGACACGGACCAGACCCCUACGGGAGGCGGCAGUGAGGAAUAUUGGUCAAUGGGCGAGAGCCUGAACCAGCCAAGUCGCGUGAAGGAUGAAGGUCUUAUGGAUUGUAAACUUCUUUUAUAAAGGAAUAAAAAAGAUCACGUGUGGUUUAUUGCAUGUACCUUAUGAAUAAGCAUCGGCUAACUCCGUGCCAGCCGCCGCCGUAAGAC
rnacentral:rRNA from 1 species